CGGGGUGUGGCGCAGCUUGGUAGCGCGCUUGCAUGGGGUGCAAGAGGUCCCCGGUUCGAGUCCGGGUACCCCGA
rnacentral:tRNA from 1 species